rnacentral:lncRNA from 1 species
CCCGCCGUUACGGGUUGUUUAGGUUUUGUUAUGCAAGAGCCUGAGUGAGGGCUGCUUUGUCUAAACGACUGCAUUUGCUAUUUUCAGGUGACCGCCCCAGACGAUUUGUCAUGAUAUGUGACGCAUGUUGAACGGCAUCAGAGCUGUCCUGAUCGGGGCGCAGUGAAGUACGGUUUGCUGAACAGUGAUUGCCACUUGGACCGAUACUGAAGCCGAAAUAUUAUUGCCUGCUAUACUGACGGUGCAGUUGGCUGUAUCACCAUACUGAGUCACUGAUAUUUGUACUAAAGUCGCCUAUCGUCCCGGACGAAUUUUCUACGGUCAUCACGGUCCACACUGAUCGCUGCAAGGUGUCACUACUGAAUGAUCCCAAUACAUACUGACCGACUAA